AAACCCCAUCCGGAGCAAGACCAAAUAGGGAAGCAAUCGCGUGGCUCGCGCGGCUUCCGGGUAGGUUGCUGGAGCGUCCGGGUAACCGGCCGCCUAGAGGAAUGACUGUCCUCGACAGAACCCGGCUUACAGGCCAGCUUCUUUU
rnacentral:RNase_P_RNA from 1 species